rnacentral:rRNA from 1 species
UACGUAGGGGGCUAGCGUUGUCCGGAAUCAUUGGGCGUAAAGCGCGCGUAGGCGGCCCGGUAAGUCCGUUGUAAAAGUCGAAGGCUCAACCUUCGAAAGCCGAUGGAUACUGUCGGGCUCGAGUCCGGAAGAGGAGUGUGGAAUUCCUGGUGUAGCGGUGAAAUGCGCAGAUAUCAGGAGGAACACCAAUGGCGAAGGCAGCACUCUGGGACGUGACUGACGCUGAGACGCGAAAGCGUGGGGAGCAAACAGG